rnacentral:rRNA from 1 species
AAGGCUUACCAAGGGGACGAUCAGUAGCUGGUCUGAGAGGACGACCAGCCACACUGGGACUGAGACACGGCCCAGACUCCUACGGGAGGCAGCAGUGGGGAAUUUUGGACAAUGGGGGAAACCCUGAUCCAGCCAUGCCGCGUGAGUGAAGAAGGCCUUCGGGUUGUAAAGCUCUUUCAGCCGGAACGAAACGGUCACGGCUAAUACCUGUGACUACUGACGGUACCGGAAGAAGAAGCACCGGCUAACUACGUGCCAGCAGCCGCGGUAAUAUUUAGGGUGCGAGCGUUAAUCGGAAUUACUGGGCGUAAAGCGUGCGCAGGCGGUUUUGUAAGUCAGAUGUGAAAUCCCCGGGCUUAACCUGGGAACUGCGUUUGAAACUACAAAGCUAGAAGGG